rnacentral:rRNA from 1 species
UGGGGAAUAUUGGACAAUGGGCGCAAGCCUGAUCCAGCCAUGCCGCGUGAGUGAUGAAGGCCCUAGGGUUGUAAAGCUCUUUCACCGGCGAAGAUAAUGACGGUAACCGGAGAAGAAGCCCCGGCUAACUUCGUGCCAGCAGCCGCGGUAAUACGAAGGGGGCUAGCGUUGUUCGGAUUUACUGGGCGUAAAGCGCACGUAGGCGGACUUUUAAGUCAGGGGUGAAAUCCCGGGGCUCAACCCCGGAACUGCCUUUGAUACUGGAAGUCUUGAGUAUGGUAGAGGUGAGUGGAAUUCCGAGUGUAGAGGUGAAAUUCGUAGAUAUUCGGAGGAACACCAGUGGCGAAGGCGGCUCACUGGACCAUUACUGACGAUGAGGUGCGAAAGCGUGGGGAGCAAACAGG